rnacentral:lncRNA from 1 species
UUAAAAUAUUCUCCGGCCACACAUGUACUGUACGACUUAGUCUCAUGUCACUCUCAACUUUCUUUCACAUGCUCCUUUUUGGCAUUUUAGCAAAACUAUGUGGAUCAGUCCGGGAUGGGGUUGAUGUCGACUGGUUUGGGCCUCGGCUAUGACCGUGGCCAGUUCACAUCAGGUCACGGCCCACAUCACGGUAUGAGGCGGCAGAAAUCCAUCGGGGUGCCUGAGGAAGAGAGGCAGUCGCUGCAUCCUCCAGCCAUGAAGUUUGCUCGCAGUCUGUCGGUGCCUGGCCCAGAUGACAUCCCUCCUCCUCCCACCACAGCUCCACCAGAGCCUCCAUUCUCCUCUGCUCCUCCACUAGGUUGGAGAGCAAAGUCAUCCCAGCAGCCCGCUGUCUCUGUCUCCCAGUCCACAUCCACCUCUGCGCACUACCAGCCCUACUCCCAGUCAGUUCACUUCACCCAUGGGGGCAGGGAAAGGGCAGGUGGUCCAAGCACAGGCCCCAGCGGUGGAGCGGUGGACCACACAACCUCGUAUGCACACGCAGCUGCACAUACUGCUCAAAGCAGGACUGCUUCGCGGAAGGUUGCAUAUACUGGGGAGCCUGUUGGAGCUGGUAUAGGAGCUAGUGGAGGGGUCAAGACAUCAGGUCUUAGGAGAGGCUACAGCACCGCUGUCCCCCCAUCCAGCAUUGCCACUGUAAUGCCCCAGCAACAACAGACUACCCAGAGUCAACCCCAUCGAGCAGACCGCAGUGCAGCUGGGGACCGGAGCAGGCGGUCCUAAAGGAGGGGCCCGGAGAGGUAAGUGCCCCCUGGUGAAACAAUCCAAAGUAGAGGACUUGCGUGUGGGCCAGGGAACAUUGGGGGGCAAAGGCACGGUGGAGAAAAGUUCCAUCCCCAUCCCCACUAUUAUCGUCAAGGCCCCAUCAACCAGCAGCAGUGGACGCAGCAGCCAGGGCAGCAGUGUGGAGGCCGAUACUCCUGGAUCAGGGGAGACAAAUGAAGCGAACACACCCCAUGGUCCUCCUCCCUCCACUCCUGCUCCACAGCCCCCUGCCCCACCUUCCAUCCCAGCACCAC